AUUAAAUAUUUUUAUAUUCGUCGUAUAAAAUCGGGAAUAAGGCUCGAAAGUUUCUACCAAGCUACCGUAAAUGGCUUGACUACGAGGUAUUGAACGGACCUG
rnacentral:ncRNA from 2 species